UUGCGUUCUCCGACAGCUACAGUUUAGCGCGUGCCCGCCUUCAACAGUGAUUAAAAUAAGUCAUAGAGAAAGCGAACAAGACUAACGAUAUCUCCCAGUCAAGAGCAGAACAGCCCAAGCAGCCACAACUAAACAUCUUCCCUAGAACCUGUCAUGGGGACAGGAAAAGAUGUUUUUCUAAAGAGUGGUACAGCAGAUAUAAAUGGCUCGAAUAUUCUCAGAGUAAAGACUCUGUAUAUUUAUAUAAUACAUAUAUAUAAUAUAUAUUUUUAUAUAUUAAGAAUAAGUUAACAUAUAAGUGUUUCUUGUAAUCUUUUUUUUUGUAUCCUUGUAAUCAUUAUAUGACCGUUGUUCCCUGUUGGGAAAUUCCUGUUACAUAAAUAAAGAUAUAAUUUCUUA